UAAGUUCGUGUAACUAAAUUGUAUAUUUAUAUUUUUGAAUUGAAUGUUGUGUAUGUGAAUUGAAUUGUGUAAUUGACAUGUAUAAAAAUUAAUAACAUAUCCGAUAAUGUCUGAUGAGUAUUAAGUCUCGUUUGGAUAAAUGAAAUUCAAUGGAUAUAGGGUUCCUGAAUUCGUUAUGGUCUUGCAUGUGUUGCAGAAACACCACAUCUCGAAAGAGCGUUCCGUUAUUAGCUCUCAUGAGUAUCCCAAUAUUUGGCCCUCUCAAGCUUCUCGCUAUAUGGUUCUUGCGAGCUUCCCGUUAAUAGCUCUUUGGAGCAUCCCGAUUGGUUGUAAUCCUACAUGUGUUGUGGACACACUGCAGCUCUUAUGAGUGUCCUGAUAUAUGGCUCAUCGGAUCUUUCCGAUUAAUGGCUCUUCAGAGCUACCCGUUAUUGGCUCACAUGAGCUUUCUGAUUAUGGCUCUUACGAGCUUCUCGUUAUACAGCCCAGAUAAGCUUCUCGUUACAUGCCUUGUAUGAGCUUCCCGUUAUAUGGCUCGAGAGAGAGCUUCCUAAUUAUAUGCUCUAAUGAGCAUUCCUGAAUAUUUAAUUAACAGAUUACAGAUUCGUACACUUCGUGUGUAUUACCCGUAUGUCCAUCGAUAUUUCAUAUGGCUCAAUGGGCAAAGUUCUGAUAUAAGUUAAGAUAAGUUCU
rnacentral:lncRNA from 1 species